rnacentral:rRNA from 1 species
AAUGAACGUUGGCGGCGUGGAUUAGGCAUGCAAGUCGUGCGGAAAGGCUCCUUCGGGAGUACUCGAGCGGCGAAAGGGAGAGUAACGCGUGGAUAUCUACCCCCUGGCCUGGGAUAGCGGCGGGAAACUGCCGGUAAUACCAGACAAGAUCUGCGGAUCAAAGGUGUGAUUCCGCCGGGGGAUCAGUCCGCGUCCUAUUAGCUAGUUGGUGAGGUAACGGCCCACCAAGGCUGAGAUGGGUACCGGGUGUGAGAGCAUGGCCCGGCUCACUGGGACUGAGACACCGCCCAGACACCUACGGGUGGCUGCAGUCGAGAAUCUUCGGCAAUGGGCGCAAGCCUGACCGAGCGACGCCGCGUGCGGGAUGAAGGCCUUCGGGUUGUAAACCGCUGUCAGAGGGGAGGAAAUGCAUGGGGGUUCUCCCUCAUGUUUGACCUAUCCUCAGAGGAAGUACGGGCUAAGUUCGUGCCAGCAGCCGCAGUAA